rnacentral:rRNA from 1 species
UGGGGAAUUUUGGACAAUGGGCGAAAGCCUGAUCCAGCAAUGCCGCGUGUGUGAAGAAGGCCUUCGGGUUGUAAAGCACUUUUGUCCGGAAAGAAAUCCUUGGCUCUAAUACAGUCGGGGGAUGACGGUACCGGAAGAAUAAGCACCGGCUAACUACGUGCCAGCAGCCGCGGUAAUACGUAGGGUGCAAGCGUUAAUCGGAAUUACUGGGCGUAAAGCGUGCGCAGGCGGUUUGCUAAGACCGAUGUGAAAUCCCCGGGCUCAACCUGGGAACUGCAUUGGUGACUGGCAGGCUAGAGUAUGGCAGAGGGGGGUAGAAUAUCCACGUGUAGCAGUGAAAUGCGUAGAGAUGUGGAGGAAUACCGAUGGCGAAGGCAGCCCCCUGGGCAAUCACUGACGCUCAUGCACGAAAGCGUGGGGAGCAAACAGGAUUAGAUACCCUGGUAGUCCCACGCCCUAAACGAUGUCAACUGGGUUGUUGGGGGACUUCAUUUUCCUUAGUAACGUAGCUAACGCGUGAAGUUGACCGCCUGGGGAGUACGGUCGCAAGAUU